AUGGUGUUUGGGCAAACGAGCCUUUUCAGUUCGAAUUUGAAGUUGAACAGUAUUGGUGGGCAUCGCAAUGGUUUAAAGCCGUUGUAUUAUU
rnacentral:tRNA from 1 species